AGCAUAUUAAUAAGCGGAGGAAAAGAAACUAACAAGGAUUCCCCUAGUAACGGCGAGUGAAGCGGGAACAGCUCAAAUUUGAAAUCUCCCUCCAGGGCGAAUUGUAGUUUAGAGAAGUAUUUUCUGGGGUAGCUCGGGCAUAGGUCCUCUGGAAAGAGGCGUCAUAGAGGGUGAGAACCCCGUCUGUGGUCCGAAGUCUGCUUCUUUGUGAUAUACUUUCAAAGAGUCGAGUUGUUUGGGAUUGCAGCUCAAAAUGGGUGGUAAAUACCAUCUAAAGCUAAAUAUUGGCGAGAGACCGAUAGCGAACAAGUACCGUGAGGGAAAGAUGAAAAGAACUUUGAAAAGAGAGUUAAACAGUACGUGAAAUUGUCAAAAGGGAAACGCUUGAAAUCAGUGUUGCGACCAGUAAUCAGCCGUUCUUCGAAUGGUGGCACUUGCUGGAAGCAGGUCAGCAUCAGUUUGCUCUGGAGUAAAAAGCUGCGGCACUACCCUCGGGUGGAUUUGCAGUCAUGCUCUGGAGUGGACUGAGGUCUGCUAACAGGAUGCUGACAAAAUGGUUUUAAACGACCCGUCU
rnacentral:rRNA from 1 species